rnacentral:lncRNA from 1 species
GAAAAAUCAGUACAUAUGCCACAUGGUAAAACAGUUGCUUUAUCAUCUUGGAAGAUUCAGAUUCAAAUCCAGUAUAUCUGAAGAAAAAACCUGCCUCAGCCCAGGAUCGAAAUGGGGAACUUUGGAUUUAUGUCUCAACGUCUUACUACUAUACCAAAGUUCAAGGGAAUUUAGAGUAAAUUCCCUAGAAGUUUGGAUUAUAAAGUUUGUACAGAUCUAUGUAUGUCUAUGUAUAUCAGGCCAUGCAUUACAUAAAAUUAUAAAAUUAAUACAUUAAAAUUAUAACACUAAAUUUAAUGAAAUGUUUUUGGUUGAUAUACAACCAUCUUCAGUAUCAAG